GACGAACGCUGGAGGCGUGCUUAACACAUGCAAGUCGAACGAUGAAAUGGAGCUUGCUCCAUGGAUUAGUGGCGAACGGGUGAGUAACACGUGAAUAACCUGCCCUUAAUUUUGGAAUAACCCAGGGAAACCUGGGCUAAUACCGGAUAAGUAAACCUGUGGCAUCACAUGGUUUUGGAAAGUUUUUCGAUUAAGGAUGGAUUCGCGGCCUAUCGGCUUGUUGGUGAGGUAAUGGCUCACCAAGGCGACGACGGGUAGCCGGCCUGAGAGGGUGAACGGCCACACUAGGACUGAGACACGGCCCAGACUCCUACGGGAGGCAGCAGUGGGGAAUAUUGCGCAAUGGACGAAAGUCUGACGCAGCGACGCCUCGUGAGGGACGAAGGUCUUCGGAUUGUAAACCUCUUUCAGCAGGGACGAAGCGAAAGUGACGGUACCUGCAGAAGAAGCACCGGCCAACUACGUGCCAGCAGCCGCUGUAA
rnacentral:rRNA from 1 species